GUGUAGUCAGGAGUCACUAAAUGUAACAGUACAGUAAAGUGUUAAAACUGUCACAAACUGUCAGUGUAGUCAGGAGUCACUAAAUGUCACAGUAAGAUGUCAAAAUGUCAGUCUAGUCACUAAAUGUAACAGUAAAGUGUUAAAACUGUCAGUGUAGUCAGGAGUCACUAAAUGUCACAGUAAGAUGUCAAAAUGUCAGUCUAGUCACUAAAUGUCACAGUAAAAUGUCAAAAUGUCAGUCUAGUCACUAAAUGUAACAGUACAGUAAAGUGUUAAAACUGUCACAAACUGUCAGUGUAGUCAGGAGUCACUAAAUGUCACAGUAAGAUGUCAAAAUGUCAGUCUAGUCACUAAAUGUAACAGUAAAGUAUUAAAAACUGUUAAAAACUGUCAGUGUAGUCAGGAGUCACUAAAUGUCACAGUAAGAUGUCAAAAUGUCAGUCUAGUCACUAAAUGUAACAGUAAAGUAUUAAAAACUGUUAAAAACUGUCAGUGUAGUCAGGAGUCACUAA